UUUUCUAGGGCCGCACCUGUGGCAUAUGGAGGUUCCCAGGCUAGAGGUCUAACUGGAGCUGCAGCUGCCUGCCUAUGCCACAGUCACAGCAAAGUGGGAUCUGAGCCAUGUCUGAGACCUACACCACAGCUCAUGGCAAGGCCGGAUCCUUAACCCACUGAGCAAGGCUAGGGAUCAAAUCUGCCAUCUCAUGGUUCCUAGUCAGAUAUGUUAACCACUGAGCCAUGAUGGGAACUGCUAGCUCUUCUAUAAAUGUUGAUAGAAUUUGCUUCUGAAGCCAUCUGGUCCUGGACUUUUGUCUGUUGGAAGUUUUUAAGUAACAGUUUCCAUUUUAGUACUCGUGAUUGGUCUGUUCAUCUUUUCUAUUUCAUCUUGGUUUAGUCUUGAAAGAUUAUACUUUUCUAAGAAUUUGUCCAUUUCUUUUAGGUUGUCUGUUUUAUUGUCAUACAGUUGCUUGUAGUAGUCUCUUAUGAUCCUUUGUAUUUCUUUGAUGUCUGUUGUAACUUCUCCUUUUUCAUUUCUAAUUUUAUUGAGUCCUCUCUCUUUUUUUCUUGAGGAGUCUAGCAAAGGGAUUAUCAAUUUUCUUGAUUUUCACAAAGAACCAGCUUUUAAUUUCAUUGAUCUUUUCUAUGUUUUUAUUCAUUUCUGUUUCAUUUAUUUCUGCCCUGAUCUUUAUGAUUUCUUUCCUUCUACUAACUUUAGGUCUUUUCUGUUCCUCUCUCUCUAGGUGCUUUAGAUGUAAAGUUAGGUUGUUUAUUGGAGCUUUUUCUUGUUUCCUGAGGUAGGUUUGUAUUGCUAUAAACUUUCCUCUUAGAACAGCUUUUGCUGCAUCCCAAACGUUUUGGAUUGUUGUGUCUUUGUUGUUGUUUGCCUCUACGUAUUUUUUAAUUUCCUCUUUGAUUUCUUCAGUGAUCCAUUGGUUGUUUAGGAGCAUGUUGUUUAGUCUCCAUGUGUUUUGUUUUUUGCAGUUUUUUUCUUGUUGAUUUCCAGUCAUAUAGCAUUGUGGUCAAAAAAGGUGCUUGAUAUGAUUUCAAUUUUCUUAACGUUACCAAGGCUUGAUUUGUGGACCAGAAUGUGAUCAAUCCUGGAGAGUGUUCUGCAUGCUCUUGAGAAGAAUGUGUACUCUGCUGCUUUGGGAUGGAAUGUUCUAUAAAUAUCUGUUAAGUCCAUCUGGUCUAAUGCAUCAUUUUGGGCCUGAAUUUCCUGGUUGAUUUUAUGUCUGGGUGAUCUGUCCAUUGCUGUAAGUGGUGUGUUCAAGUGCCCUGCUAUUACUGUGUUAUUGUCAAUUUCUCCUUUUAAGGUUGUUAGCAGUUGCCUUAUACACUGAAGUGAACCUAUGUUGGGUGCAUAUAUAUUUACAAUUGUUUUAUCCUCUUCUUGGAUUGAUCCUUUGAUCAUUAUGUAAUGCCCUUCUUGGUCUUUUAUAAUAUUCUUUAUUUUAAGGUUUAUUUUGUCUGAUAUGACUACUGCUACUUCAGCUUUCUUUUGAUCCCCUUUUGCAUGGAAUAUUUUCUCCCAUCCUCUCACUUUCAAUUUGUGUGUGUCCCCAAAACUGAAGUGGGUCUCUUGAAGACAGCAUAUAUAUGGGUCCUGGCUCUAUUUAGCCAGUCUGUGUCUUUUGGUUGGGGCAUUUAUUUCAUUUAUAUUUAAGGUCAUUAUUAAUAUGUAUGUUCUCAAUGCCAUUUUAUUGACUGUUUUGGAUUUGUUUCUGUUGUUCUUUUUUCUUCCCUUCUUCUUUUGUUCUCUUCUCUUGAGGUUUUAUGACUAUCUUUAGUGUUGUAUUUGAGUUGAUUUUUCUUAUUUCUGCAUGUAUCUAUUGUACAUUUUUGGUUUGCAGUUAUUUUGUAUGUUGAUAUAGGAGUCAAUAUAUAUACAAGAUUGUUUUAAGUUGCUGGGGUGUUAAUUGCAAGUGCAUCUCCAGUGUCCUGCAUUUUUACCCUCCUCUUGUCAUGAUUUUUGCUUUUGGUGGCAUAUUUGUGUGUGGAUGAUUUCUUACCUUUACUAUAUGUAUGUCUUUACCAGUGAGCCUUUUCAUUUGUAAUAUUUUUGUUUCUAGUUGUGGCCUUUUCUUUUCCACCUGGAGAAGUUCCUUUUGUAUUUGUUGUAAAGCUGGUUUAGUAUUGCUGAAUUCUCUUAGCUUUUGCUUCUCUGUAAAGCUUUUGAUUUCUCCUUCAAAUCAGAAUGAGAGCCUUGCUGGGUGGAGUAAUCUUGGUUGGAGGUUUUUUCCCUUUCAUCAUUUUAAGUAUAUCAUGCCACUCCCUUCUGGCCUGCAGAGUUUCUGCUGAAAAAUCUGCCAGUGACCUUAUUGGGGUUCCCUUGUAUGUUAUUUGUUUCUUUUCUCUAGCUGCUUGCAGUAUUUUCUCUUUAUCUUUAAUUUUGGUCAGUUUGAUUAAUAUGCGUCUCAGGGUGUUUCUCCUUGGGUUUAUUUUAUAUGGUUCUUGUUGUUCUUCCUGGGUUUAAGUGAGCAAUUCCUUUCCCAUGUUAGGGUAGUUUUCAGCUAUUAUCUCUUAAAAUAUUUUUUCUGGCCCUUUCUCUCUUAUCUUCUCCUUCUGGCACCCCUAAAAUACAGAUGUUGGUGCAUUUAACGUUGUCCCAGAUUUCUCUUUGGCUGUCUUCAUUUCUUUUCUUUUUUUUUUCUUUUUAGGGCCCACCUGCAACAUAUGGAGGUUCCCAGGCUAGGGGUGGAAUCACAGCUGUAGCUGCUGGCCUUCACCACAGCCACAGCAACACAGGAUCUGAGUUGCAUCUGCAACCUACACCACAGCAAUGCCAGAUCCUUAACCCACUGAGUGAGGCCAGGGAUUAAACCUGCAACCUCAUGGUUCCUAGUUGGAUUCAUUUCUGCUGUGCCACAAUGGGAACUCCCCUGUCUUCAUUUCUUUUUUAUCUUUUUUCUCUUUUCUGUUCCACAUCAGUGAUUUCCACUAGUCUGUCCUCCACGUAACUUAUUUGUUCUUCUGCCUCUUUCUGCUGUUGGUUGCUUCUAAUGAAUUUUUUAUUUGUUAUUGUAUUUUGCAUCUCUGC
ensembl:lncRNA